UACGUAUGGUGCAAGCGUUAUCCGGAUUUACUGGGCGUAAGGGGAGCGCAGGCGGCGCGCCAAGUCUGAUGUGAAACCCCGGGGCUCAACCCCGGGCAUGCAUUGGAAACUGGCGGGCUGGAGUGCCGGAGAGGUAAGCGGAAUUCCUAGUGUAGCGGUGAAAUGCGUAGAUAUUAGGAGGAACACCAGUGGCGAAGGCGGCUUACUGGACGGCAACUGACGCUGAGGCUCGAAAGCGUGGGGAGCAAACAGG
rnacentral:rRNA from 1 species